GAUGAACGCUGGCGGCGUGCUUAACACAUGCAAGUCGAACGGAAAGGCCCAAGCUUGCUUGGGUACUCGAGUGGCGAACGGGUGAGUAACACGUGGGUGAUCUGCCCUGCACUUCGAGAUAAGCCUGGGAAACUGGGUCUAAUACCGGAUAGGACCACAUUUUGGAUGGUGUGGUGGAAAGUUUUUCGGUGUGGGAUGAGCUCGCGGCCUAUCAGCUUGUUGGUGGGGUAAUGGCCUACCAAGGCGUCGACGGGUAGCCGGCCUGAGAGGGUGUACGGCCACAUUGGGACUGAGAUACGGCCCAGACUCCUACGGGAGGCAGCAGUGGGGAAUAUUGCACAAUGGGCGCAAGCCUGAUGCAGCGACGCCGCGUGGGGGAUGACGGCCUUCGGGUUGUAAACUCCUUUCGCUAGGGACGAAGCGUUUUUGUGACGGUACCUGGAGAAGAAGCACCGGCUAACUACGU
rnacentral:rRNA from 1 species